rnacentral:tRNA from 1 species
UUUUAACUCCGAAGCGGAGUAAUGCCAUAGUAAGGCAUAAGUAAUUAGUUAAAAU